rnacentral:rRNA from 1 species
UAGGGAAUCUUCCACAAUGGACGCAAGUCUGAUGGAGCAACGCCGCGUGAGUGAAGAAGGUCUUCGGAUCGUAAAGCUCUGUUGUUGGUGAAGAAGGAUAGAGGCAGUAACUGGUCUUUAUUUGACGGUAAUCAACCAGAAAGUCACGGCUAACUACGUGCCAGCAGCCGCGGUAAUACGUAGGUGGCAAGCGUUGUCCGGAUUUAUUGGGCGUAAAGCGAGCGCAGGCGGAAUGAUAAGUCUGAUGUGAAAGCCCACGGCUCAACCGUGGAACUGCAUCGGAAACUGUCAUUCUUGAGUGCAGAAGAGGAGAGUGGAACUCCAUGUGUAGCGGUGGAAUGCGUAGAUAUAUGGAAGAACACCAAUGGCGAAGGCGGCUCUCUGGUCUGCAACUGACGCUGAGGCUCGAAAGCAUGGGUAGCGAACAGGAUUAGAUACCCUGGUAGUCCAUGCCGUAAACGAUGAGCGCUAGGUGUUGGGGACUUUCCGGUCCUCAGUGCCGCAGCAAACGCAUUAAGCGCUCCGCCUGGGGAGUACGACCGCAAGGUUGAAAC